rnacentral:rRNA from 1 species
UACGUAGGGUGCAAGCGUUGUCCGGAAUUAUUGGGCGUAAAGAGCUCGUAGGCGGUCUGUCGCGUCGGAUGUGAAAAUCCAGGGCUCAACCCUGGACCUGCAUUCGAUACGGGCAGACUAGAGUUCGGCAGGGGAGACUGGAAUUCCUGGUGUAGCGGUGAAAUGCGCAGAUAUCAGGAGGAACACCGGUGGCGAAGGCGGGUCUCUGGGCAAUAACUGACGCUGAGGAGCGAAAGCGUGGGGAGCGAACAGG